UACAGAGGGUGCUAGCGUUGUUCGGAAUCAUUGGGCGUAAAGGGCGUGUAGGCGGUUUUGUUAAGUCAUGUGUGAAAUCCCUCGGCUUAACCGGGGAACGACGCAUGAAACUGGCAAGCUAGAGUACCAAAGAGGGGGGUGGAAUUCCCGGUGUAGCGGUGAAAUGCGCAGAUAUCGGGAGGAACACCAAUGGCGAAGGCAGCUCGCUGGGACGGUACUGACGCUGAGACGCGAAAGCGUGGGGAGCAAACAGG
rnacentral:rRNA from 1 species